CACACACAUCACGGUGUGGUGCCAACUGUGAGUUUGGGGGAUUUUUUUGAACCUUCCUUCUCCAGUAGACUCACCUACAGGCAAGGAUGGUGUCUUACCUGACAUGGUCUCCCCAAGGCUGGGCACAGGGGCUGGCCUGCUGUGGGCUCUCCACGAAUUGAGUUGGAUGGAUGGACGGGCGGGCGGACGGACGGAUGGAUGGUCGGAUGGGGCCAUUCUUGGACACAGUCCCAAGUUCCCGAAGCCUGAAUUCCAUUCCUGAGUCUAUGCCCGUGACCCUGACCUUCAGCCUCACCCAAUUUGUGUUCACUCUGGUGUCUUCCCAGGGCCAACCAGACACGUUUGAAAUAAUCUGCCACGGCUGGGUUGACAAAGACAGGAGCCUUUGGGGGCUCUACUUUGCCGCCAUCAGAAAUUCUGUGUCCCCCACCCUUCCCCAGGGCUCUGAGCUGAGACAGCUGUGCUGGCGUCUCCACGUCCACGGAAACCUCAGGCAGCCCCAAGCGGGCUUCGGAGCGCAGACCCCGUUCAAGUCCCUGGGCUGUUCCUCCCCAGCCACGCACGUGGUUAAACCCCGGAUGCUCCUGGCAGGGCCUUGGUUGUGUAGACGGAGCGGGGACAGGCCUCCAGGUGAUUCUGAAGGGUGGCCAAGAUUAGCCCUGAGCUGACAUCUGCUGCCAAUCCUCCUCUUUGUUGCUGAUGAAGACUGGCCCUGAGCUAACAUCCAUGCUCAUCUUCCUCUACUUUAUACAUGGGACGCCUGCCACAGCACGGCUUGCCAAGCAGUGCCAUGUCCACACCCAGCAUCUGAACUGGUGAACCCCAGGCAGCCAGAGCGGAACAGGGGCUAUGGGAGGCUGAACGGACUGGUCCCUGGGCCGCUGGAGCCGCUGGGCAGGGGCUGCAGAGACC
rnacentral:lncRNA from 1 species